GACGAACGCUGGCGGCGUGCUUAACACAUGCAAGUCGAACGGAAAGGCCCUGCUUUUGUGGGGUGCUCGAGUGGCGAACGGGUGAGUAACACGUGAGUAACCUGCCCUUGACUUUGGGAUAACUUCAGGAAACUGGGGCUAAUACCGGAUAGGAGCUCCUGCUGCAUGGUGGGGGUUGGAAAUUUUCGGCGGUUGGGGAUGUACUCGCGGCUUAUCAGCUUGUUGGUGGGGUAGUGGCUUACCAAGGCUUUGACGGGUAGCCGGCCUGAGAGGGUGACCGGCCACAUUGGGACUGAGAUACGGCCCAGACUCCUACGGGAGGCAGCAGUGGGGAAUAUUGCACAAUGGGCGGAAGCCUGAUGCAGCAACGCCGCGUGCGGGAUGACGGCCUUCGGGUAGUAAACCGCUUUCGCCUGUGACGAAGCGUGAGUGACGGUAAUGGGUAAAGAAGCACCGGCUAACUACGUG
rnacentral:rRNA from 1 species